AUGGAUUUAGAUAAAAUCAUAUCUCGGCCUAACAUAGAAAAGACAAUGUUCACAGAAUGGAUGACAGCCAACCAAUUGCAUGAGGAAGCUCGCAGUUUGACGUAUGCACGGUUUCCAACCAAAUGGACUUGGCAUGCAAAAGAGAAAGAAUGGAGGAAAAGACGUGGUGGUAAAAAAACCAUAGGCAGGAUUUACUAUGCACAACCAACAAGCGGUGAAAAAUACUACUUGAGAAUGCUUCUAAAUACCGUGAAAGGACACAGAUCCUAUGAAGAAAUCCGAACAGUUGAUGGGGUUGUACAUCCAACAUACAAAUCUGCAUGUUAUGCUCUUGGGCUACUUAAUGACGACAAGGAGUGGGAUGACUGCAUCAAGGAAGCAUCCCAUUGGGCCUCUGCUCCUCAAAUGCGCCAACUUUUCUGCACAAUACUUUUAUUUUGCGAGGUGACUGAUCCUGCAAAGUUGUGGCAAACAAACUGGGAGUUACUAUCUGAGGACAUCCAACGUCGGCAAAGAAGAAUACUCAAUUUUCAGGCCCUAGAACUCAACUCAUUGCAAAUAAAGAGCCUCCUCUUGGCAGAGAUCGAACACCUAUUGGCUAAAGGUGGUAAGUCCCUCAAAGAUUUUCCAGGAAUGCCACUACCAGAUAGUUCGAUUCUUCAAGAUAUAAAUAAUAGAUUAGUAAAUGAGGAACUAAACUACGAUAAAGAUUCUUUAAGAAUAGAGCACACAGAGUUACUACAAAGGCUAAAUCAAGAUCAGAGGAUAGCUUUUGAUGUUAUAAUAGAAUCAGUUAGCAGCAGUUGUGGAAAACUGAUUUUCGUUGACGGAUAUGGUGGAACUGGAAAGACAUUUCUGUGGAAAGCAGUCACGACAAAAUUAAGAUCCGAAGGAAAAAUAGUUCUAGCAGCAGCUUCAAGUGGUAUAGCAGCACUUCUUUUACAGGGCGGAAGAACAGCUCAUUCAAGAUUUCACAUUCCGCUCAAAAUCACAAACGAGUCAACAUGCGACAUCAAGCAAGGAACAUUUCUCGCGGAACUAAUAAAGAAAACUUCACUGAUAAUAUGGGAUGAAGCACCUAUGACACACAAGCACUGUUUUGAGGCACUAGACAAGAGUUUGAGAGACAUACUUCGAUUCACAAAUGAGGAUGCCGAGCAUAGACCAUUUGGAGGAAUGACAGUAGUCUUGGGAGGUGACUUCAGACAAAUCCUACCAGUUAUACCAAAGGGGAAAAGGGAACAUAUCAUUUCGGCAUCUAUAAAGAGAUCCUACCUAUGGAAGAACUUUGAGGAGUACCGACUCACAGAAAAUAUGCGUCUGAAUUCAUCCGAAGGUAGUCCAGAAGAGAAAGCAAAGACAGCUGAAUUUGCAAACUGGAUACUAAACAUCGGCGAUGGCACAACAGCAACAAUAGAUGAUGAAGACUGGGUUAGCAUCCCAGAAGACCUUAUUUUAAAUAAAGGAGAUGACCCAAAAGCAUCUAUAGUUAAUAACACUUACCCUGAAUUACACAACAAGUACACUGAUAGAACAUACCUAGAGGAAAGAGCGAUCCUGUGCCCAAGGAACGAGACUGUUGACCAGAUUAACACCUACAUCAUGAGUCAAAUUCCUGGAGAAGAGGUAACCUAUCUCAGUUCAGAUACAACAUGCAAGGCAAUGUCUACGGUGGAAGACGAAGAUAUGUUGUACCCAACUGAAUUUCUAAAUAGUCUAACAUUUUCUGGAAUACCAGAUCAUGAACUGAGGCUGAAAAUAGGAUUACCAGUAAUGCUUAUGAGGAACAUCAAUCAAAGUGCAGGACUUUGCAAUGGGACAAGACUAACAAUAACGCAGCUAGGAAAGCGUUUCAUCGAAGGCCAGGUCAUAACAGGUACUAACAUUGGUGACAAAGUUUACAUCCCACGAAUUAUUAUGUCACCAAGUGAUUCAAAAUGGCCUUUCAUUCUGAAAAGGAGACAAUACCCAAUAUCAGUGUGCUUUGCUAUGACAAUAAACAAAAGUCAGGGGCAAUCUCUCAAAAAGAUUGGACUCUACUUAGAAAGGCAAGUGUUCACACAUGGCCAACUCUAUGUUGCAAUGUCAAGGGUUACCAGCAGAAAUGGAUUGCGGAUACUUAUAUCAGAUGAAGAGCGUCCAUCCGACAAGGUUGCAAAAAACAUUGUUUACAAGGAUAUAUUAUAG
rnacentral:rRNA from 1 species